UGGGGAAUAUUGGACAAUGGGCGAAAGCCUGAUCCAGCCAUGCCGCGUGUGUGAAGAAGGUCUUCGGAUUGUAAAGCACUUUAAGUUGGGAGGAAGGGCAGUAAGCGAAUACCUUGCUGUUUUGACGUUACCGACAGAAUAAGCACCGGCUAACUCUGUGCCAGCAGCCGCGGUAAUACAGAGGGUGCAAGCGUUAAUCGGAAUUACUGGGCGUAAAGCGCGCGUAGGUGGUUCGUUAAGUUGAAUGUGAAUGCCCCGGGCUCAACCUGGGAACUGCAUCCAAAACUGGCGAGCUAGAGUAGGGCAGAGGGUGGUGGAAUUUCCUGUGUAGCGGUGAAAUGCGUAGAUAUAGGAAGGAACACCAGUGGCGAAGGCGACCACCUGGGCUCAUACUGACACUGAGGUGCGAAAGCGUGGGGAGCAAACAGG
rnacentral:rRNA from 1 species